rnacentral:rRNA from 1 species
GAGCGCUGGCGGCAGGCCUAACACAUGCAAGUCGAGCGGCCCUUUCGGGGGUAGCGGCGGACGGGUGAGUAACGCGUGGGAACGUACCCUUUUCUACGGAAUAGCCUCGGGAAACUGAGAGUAAUACCGUAUACGCCCUUUGGGGGAAAGAUUUAUCGGAGAAGGAUCGGCCCGCGUUGGAUUAGGUAGUUGGUGGGGUAAUGGCCUACCAAGCCGACGAUCCAUAGCUGGUUUGAGAGGAUGAUCAGCCACACUGGGACUGAGACACGGCCCAGACUCCUACGGGAGGCAGCAGUGGGGAAUCUUAGACAAUGGGGGAAACCCUGAUCUAGCCAUGCCGCGUGAGCGAUGAAGGCCUUAGGGUUGUAAAGCUCUUUCACCGGGGAAGAUAAUGACGGUACCCGGUAGAAGAAGCCCCGGCUAACUC